rnacentral:misc_RNA from 1 species
AACUGUCAAGCUGGGGGUGCCUUUCGUUUGGAAAGGUUGCCUCUGCUUGGUUAUUGGGUUCUGCCGUGUCCCCUGCACUUGUUGGGGAAUGGGCUAGCCUUAAAAGUAUCAGCUGACCUUGAUAAUCUACUCGGCGUAUUAAUGAUACAUGAACCGCAGAGGACAUUACAAUCUUAGGUUGCUUUCUAAUCUGGUAUUGGUGGUUCUUAGGAAUUCAUCAUCCAUCUUCAG